GAUGAACGCUGGCGGCGUGCCUAAUACAUGCAAGUCGAGCGAACAGACGAGAAGCUCGCUCCUCUGCCGUUAGCGGCGGACGGGUGAGUAACACGUGGAUAACCAACCUAUAAGACUGGGAUAACUUCGGAAAACCACAGCUACUACUGGCGAAUAUGUUGAACGGGAUGAAUCAAUAGUGAAUGACGGUUUUGCUGUCACUUAUAGAUGGAUCCGCGUCGCAUUAGCUAGUUGGUAAGGUAACGGCCUACCAAGGCAACGAUGCGUAGCCGACCUGAGAGGGUGAUCGGCCACACUGGAACUGAGACACGGUCCAGACUCCUACGGGAGGCAGCAGUGGGGAAUCUUCCGCAAUGGGCGAAAGCCUGACGCAGCAACGCCGCGUGAGUGAUGAAGGUCUUCGGAUCGUAAAACUCUGUUAUUAGGGAAGAACAAAUGUGUAAGUAACUAUGCACGUCUUGACGGUACCUAAUCAGAAAGCCACGGCUAACUACGUG
rnacentral:rRNA from 1 species